UACGGAGGGGGCUAGCGUUGUUCGGAAUUACUGGGCGUAAAGCGCACGUAGGCGGCUUUGUAAGUUAGAGGUGAAAGCCCAGGGCUUAACCCUGGAAUUGCCUUUAAGACUGCAUCGCUAGAAUCGUGGAGAGGUGAGUGGAAUUCCGAGUGUAGAGGUGAAAUUCGUAGAUAUUCGGAAGAACACCAGUGGCGAAGGCGACUCACUGGACACGUAUUGACGCUGAGGUGGCGAAAGCGUGGGGAGCAAACA
rnacentral:rRNA from 1 species